UCCUCCGUGGCGCAAUUGGCUAGCGCGUCUGACUGUUACUUUCACAUCUGUGAUCUGGCGAUCAGGAGGUUGACAGUUCAAGCCUGUCCGGGGGAG